rnacentral:rRNA from 1 species
GGAGGGUGCAAGCGUUAUCCGGAUUCACUGGGUUUAAAGGGAGCGUAGGUGGCUUUGUAAGUCAGUGGUGAAAUAUUGCGGCUCAACCGCAAAACUGCCAUUGAUACUGCUUAGCUUGAAUCAAGUCGAGGUGGAUGGAAUAAUACAUGUAGCGGUGAAAUGCUUAGAUAUGUAUUAGAACACCGAUUGCGAAGGCAGUUCACUAGGCUUGUAUUGACACUGAGGCUCGAAAGCGUGGGGAUCAAACAGGAUUAGAUACCCUGGUAGUCCACGCCCUAAACGAUGUAAACUCGACAUUAGCGAUAUACUGUUAGUGUCCAAGCGAAAGCGUUAAGUUUACCACCUGGGAAGUACGUCCGCAAGGAUG